UACGUAGGAGGCGAGCGUUGUCCGGAUUUAUUGGGCGUAAAGAGCGUGUAGGCGGUUUGGUAGGUCCGCUGUGAAAACUCGAGCUCAACCUCGAGACGCCGGUGGAAACCAUCAGACUAGAGUCCGGAAGAGGAGAGUGGAAUUCCUGGUGUAGCGGUGAAAUGCGCAGAUAUCAGGAAGAACACCCGUGGCUAAGGCGGCUCUCUAGUACGGUACUGACGCUGAGACGCGAAAGCGUGGGGAGCGAACAGG
rnacentral:rRNA from 1 species